AAACAACCGGGAUUGCUUAGUAACGGCGAGUGAAGCGGCAAAAGCUCAAAUUUGAAAUCUGGUACCUUCGGUGCCCGAGUUGUAAUUUGGAGAGGGCAACUUUGGGGCCGUUCCUUGUCUAUGUUCCUUGGAACAGGACGUCAUAGAGGGUGAGAAUCCCGUGUGGCGAGGAGUGCGGUUCUUUGUAAAGUGCCUUCGAAGAGUCGAGUUGUUUGGGAAUGCAGCUCUAAGUGGGUGGUAAAUUCCAUCUAAAGCUAAAUAUUGGCGAGAGACCGAUAGCGAACAAGUACAGUGAUGGAAAGAUGAAAAGAACUUUGAAAAGAGAGUGAAAAAGUACGUGAAAUUGUUGAAAGGGAAGGGCAUUUGAUCAGACAUGGUGUUUUGUGCCCUCUGCUCCUUGUGGGUAGGGGAAUCUCGCAUUUCACUGGGCCAGCAUCAGUUUUGGUGGCAGGAUAAAUCCAUAGGAAUGUAGCUUGCCUCGGUAAGUAUUAUAGCCUGUGGGAAUACUGCCAGCUGGGACUGAGGACUGCGACGUAAGUCAAGGAUGCUGGCAUAAUGGUUAUAUGCCGCCCGUCUUGAA
rnacentral:rRNA from 1 species